GACGAACGCUGGCGGCGUGCUUAACACAUGCAAGUCGAGCGAUGAAACACCUUCGGGUGCGGAUUAGCGGCGAACGGGUGAGGAACACGUGAGGAAUCUGCCUUCCACUCUGGGAUAACUCCGGGAAACCGGGGCUAAUACCGGAUACUUUCAACUGGCGGCAUCGCCGGUUGAAGAAAGUUUUUCGGUGGAGGAUGACCCCGCGGCCUAUCAGCUUGUUGGUGAGGUAAAGGCUCACCAAGGCGACGACGGGUAGCCGGCCUGAGAGGGCGACCGGCCACACUGGGACUGAGACACGGCCCAGACUCCUACGGGAGGCAGCAGUGGGGAAUAUUGGGCAAUGGAGGAAACUCUGACCCAGCGACGCCGCGUGAGGGAUGAAGGCCUUCGGGUUGUAAACCUCUUUCAGCAGGGAAUAAGCGAAAGUGAAGGUACCUGCAGAAGAAGCACCGGCUAACUAUGUGCCAGCAGCCGCGGUAA
rnacentral:rRNA from 1 species